CCCUGGUUAGCUGAAUUGGCAGAGUGCUCCACUGGAAAUGGAGAGGUCCCAGGUUAUACCCGGACCAGGCG
rnacentral:tRNA from 1 species